UAGUUUAAAUAGAACUUCAGCUUUGGGUGUUGAUAGUGGGGCUAUGGCUUCUUCCUUGA
rnacentral:tRNA from 1 species